AUGCCUCCGUUUAUCUUCCCCCAUCCUGCCCUUCCCCCAAUGCCUCCCCUCCCUUUUAUGCAAGAUAUCACGCUGGAGGCAGCGCCUGUCUCUUUAAGCGCGGUACGCACGGCACGCACAGCACGCACGGCAGGGCGCGGCGCGCAGAGAGGAGGGGGCGGAGCGGCCUGGCCCGGGCCAGGGAGAAGGAGGGAGGAGGGAAGCCCGCUCUCUGGAGAGAGGCGGUCGCGGCCUGAUGACGUCGCACAAUGGCCGGCCCCCGCGGGUAGUGGAGCCCGUUUGUUCCGCCCGCGUCGCCCCGAAGCCGAAGCCGAAGCCGGAGCCGGAGCCGAAGCAGCCAAGGAGAAGGAAGAACAAAGUACCCUCCUAAAGCAUCUGAGUGGGAUACCAGCAUGUGUGCACUUUAUAAUUAAAUCUGGAGUAGUAAAAAUAGACUUGAAUAUCUUCUGAAAUAGAGCAGAAUGAGACUGUCAGCAUCAUGUAAGCACAGCUCUCGUAAUAUGGAGAAUUUUCUACCAGAAGUUCUUCUCUACAGGUGAAUAUACCCAUUGGCAGCUUGUAUCAAAGUCAUGAGUCACAAUUUUGGUGGGAAGGAAGGAGUCCCUCACUGUAGAUAUGACAAUGUCCACUAAAUUACCUGACAACACAAAAUGGUGUAAAACGUUGUACUGACUUAUGGUCUCCCUUUACUGGCCUUGGAGGCCAGGCUAGCAAUUCUUUAGUUCGGAGCAUUCUAACCUUUUGCUUCCGUGGGCAUCUUUUGUAUGACAGUUGCUCUUCUACUUUUGGAGUGUAAACUGAUAACAGAUAAAUCCAUCCCUUCCAGUGGGUAGAGUUGUCCCAGGUCAUCAAGUGGACCACUAGGGCCCGCUAUCUAUUACCCUAACUUAUUUUUAAUAGGUGUUCUGAUCUGGGUGGAUGUUAACACAGUACCUAUACAUGAAAAGUGACAGGCACCAACGUGGAUGCUCUUUGAAAUGCAUGCUGAGAGUUGCUAAAGAACUGUCUACAAUUGUUCUGCUUUAGGCCCCUAAGGUUAACUCUAAAGCCAAAGGUAGGUUUAUAGCUUACAAGCUGGUGCCAUGUAUCAGUGUUACCAUAUGGAGGCCACCUUUAAUAUCAAAAGCAACAUGUCACAUCAAAUCACAUCGUUGUCUCCUACAGCAAAAGAUCUUGUUGACUUUUUUUUCUUAUUAACUGCUAGAAUUGGGGUAGGGGAGGGGGAUCCUGUGUCAAAAUUGUAACAUUGUAAUAUGCCUUAAAUUGCAUUUGUAUUUAGGGGAAGGUAGAGUUCAGGGAGGUAGCAUGCUGAGGAUAUGGAGGAUCUUACCCAUCUGGCAUAUUUCCCUUAAAUUGUCAUUGCGAAAAAUCUCUUAAGUGGUUUGUAAAUAUCACAUUAAUUUAUUAUUCUUAAUUGGAUCUAUAUGAUUUUAAAGUUAAUUGCCUAUUU
rnacentral:lncRNA from 1 species